rnacentral:lncRNA from 1 species
CGUAAAAAUAAGAAUAGAAUGUAAAAAAAAAAUGUUAAAAAAAAUCAGGUUUAGCAUUUUCUACAAAGGUUUAUCCCCUCAAUGUUUGACUCACAGUAAUCUCGAUGGAAAUAUUUCAAAACAUUCUUUAAAUACUUAAUACAUAUUAUAUUAAAAGAGUUCACUGACACAAACCAUUAAACUAAAGCUACAACGACCGAG